UUUGAAAGUAAAUCCCCUAUUUCCUCCGUCGAUUUCUUCAAAGUGGUUUUUUUAUCUCUAGGACUAGAGAAAAAGAAAAUUUUGAUGGCUGAAAUACAGUCGAAACUGAAUCAAGAGCCAUGUUCCUCUUCUACACGAUUGGUGAAAUUAAAUCAAGUACCAUGCUCCUCUUUUACUGCAGUUCCCGCUGCACCAAAUAAACCUCCUGAAGCUUGUGGGAUAAAAACAAAAACGAAACAUGACGGUCCCGAUUGUAAACUUUUCGACCUUAUUGUUUCAUUGUCACUCAUCCUUAUUGUUUCAGUUUAUAAAUUUGUCAAAGGUCUUACGUUGUAUUGUGCGCGACAGAUAUCUUGCAAAUCUUGCACAAUUAUUUUCCAUGGGAAACAAUUGAUGAUAUAGAUAGGGCUGAACGCCAUUAUUACCGUGUGUUAUAUGAACGAAGGGAUCCAAAGAUUGAUGAUAUACAUGCAGAUAUGGCAAAGCUGAAGAGAUGUUUGUUAUGCAAACCAAAAGAGAGCUGCUCAACCUUAGGAUGAAUUUCUCACAGCCCGUCUUGGUAGAACUUGUUGAUCCAUCCUAUGAAGAUUUGACAACGGGUUUUGAGAAAUUCACGAUUAAACAAGCUCUGAAACAAAAAAAAAAAAAACAAGCUCUGAAACAAAACCAUGAGAACGGACAGAUUCAAACUCCACAACAGUCUCUUUGCAGUCAUCUUGAGGUGAUGCGUAGAAAACUACAAAAUAUGGAUAAUGAUGCUUUUUCAAAAGCGGGCAUGCGGAUGGUUAGUGUUGAGCAUUUACUUUGGAGGGCGAACCGCAUAAUUAAAGCCUUAGAAUCAAUCGAAAACAAGUUCAGAUUUUUGAUUAUGGUGAAGGACUUGGAAGCCCCUCGCAAGAAGUCACGUAUGAGCAACUCAGCAGCUUGAUCGAACAAAGAACACAUUUGGUUAUAAAUAGGAGCCUAUGAUUCCAUUCAUCAGUGGAAAGGGGAGCUCACGUACUCAUCAGCAUAUUGGGCCUGUGAAUUGAGCCGCAUAGACUAAUAUUUGCUUUUAGACCUUGUAUUACUGUUGGGCUUAAUUUGUUAGAAUAAGAAUGAGUAGUUAGGUUAUUUCCUAGAGUUCUGAGUCUGUAUUUGAUGUAAUCCUGUUUGUAGGAUUAAGUUAAACAGGAGUGGGUGUUUAAAGACCAAUCAUUGUGUAAGAAAGAACUUA